CAGCCGUAAACAAUGUGCGUUAGGUGUGUCGGUAACCACGCGUUACUGAUGCGCCGAAGAGAAAUCGUGAAACGCACCACCUGGGAAGUACGGUCGCAAGGCUGAAACUUAAAGGAAUUGGCGGGGGAGCACCACAACAGGUGGAGCCUGCGGUUUAAUUGGAUUCAACGCCGGACACCUCACCGGAUAAGACAGCUGAAUGAUUGUCAAUCUGAAGGUUUUACAUGACUAGCUGAGAGGUGGUGCAUGGCGUCAGUGACU
rnacentral:rRNA from 1 species